UAAAUGUUGCGGCAGACAUUCCCGAAGCAGAAUUAAAAUAGGAUGCCUUCCACGAGUCAACCGCCAAGAACCCUCCACACAGGCUUCCGAAACCCUGGACAUAAGAGAUAUACCAGAGACGCAUGGUCCAUUCGCUCCAGUGAUAUCAAUUAGAGGGCCCAAACCGGUCCAAUCAUCAUGCCAAAAAUAAGCCAAUUUUCCCGAGUAAACCUGACAUGAUAAAAAGGAGCGAGCCAGAUGACGAAGCUUCAUAAG
rnacentral:lncRNA from 1 species